rnacentral:lncRNA from 1 species
CUGUACGUAACUUUUUUUUUGAUUUUUUGUCAACAAAGUUUCAUUAUAUUAAACUCAUCAUAUAUAUUAAAACAGACGUCAUAACUUUGUUAAUGUAUGAUUUUUUUUAUUUGGAUUAUCCUCUAAAACAUUUAUCAAAUUUUACAUAACUUAAUCAUCAUAUUUUUUAAUAUCUUUAUCUUUAUCUUUUAUUUAAAAUACAAAUAAAUUUUGUUUAAGAAAAUUCUAAGAAAA